ensembl:rRNA 5S_rRNA 5S ribosomal RNA
GUCUACAGCCAUACCACCCUGAACACGCCCAAUCUCGUCUGGUCUCGAAAGCUAAGCAGAGUCAGGCCUGGUUAGUACUUGGAUGGAAGACAGAUCUUCAAAAGAGACUGCUCAGAGAAAAGCAGUUUGGAGACA